rnacentral:lncRNA from 1 species
CUGAGUCAACAAGCAGAGAUAAAACUAGAGUCUCCUUAUUUUGAAUCCAAUAUAUCGGGUUCUGAAGAAGCACAUGUAAGGGACCAUGAAUUUGAUCUGAAUAAUGAAGGGAGUCUCAGUUUUAUCGACUUGCAAAGUGGCUCUUCACCUUCAGGAGCUCAGUGUUCUUCCUCCAAAAGUGAGGAAGAUCCUAUUCAUAGAGCUGUGGAAUGUUUUCACCAGGAAAAGCUAUCCCCAAACUCAGGUAAUUUUGUAUUGAAAAGUGCGUAAAAGCUUUCUUGAAAUGAGUUCUAUGGCUAGUAUGUCUUUGAAGAUGCCGUUAUAGUUGUCCUUUCUUCACCUCUUGGUUGAUUAUCAUCAUCCCUUAACUCCCACCUUUUCAAAAAAAGUGACAAAUUGAUCUGAAUAAUGAAGGGAGUCCCAAUUUUAUCGACCUGCAAAGUGCCACUUCACCUUCAGGAGCUCAGUGUUCUUCCUCCACAAGUGAGGAAGAUCCUAUUCGUAGAGCUUUGGAAUGUUUUCACCAAGAAAGGCUAUCCCUAAUCUCAGGUAAUUAUGUAUUUUAUCUGAGAAGUGCAUUCAGAUUUUCUUGAAUAGACUUCUAUGGUUAGUAUGUCUUAAAGAUGUGAUUAUAGUUGGUCUUUCUUGUCCUCUUGAUUGAUUAUCAUCAUCCCUAACCCCACCCAAACCCCAACCCUUUCAAAAAAGUAACAAAUUGAUUGUCGUUUCCUUUUCAAGGAGUGCAGAGGAAGUUUGCUGCCCGUUUCCUUGGUUUUAUUGUAGUCCUAUGUUGCUGGUUCAGUUGUGUGUUUCUUGAACACAAUUUACAUUGAGGGGGUUGUCUCUAUUCAGAAAAAGCAGUAUGACCAUAUUGCAAAGUCGGGUUAUGGACAUGUUAUCCCAUGGUCUAUUCUAAGUGGUUAUGAAUUGCUUCUAUAUUGCUAUCUGAAUGUAUAAUGUUUUCGUCAGUGUGCUUUUUUCUCUUGGAUUUGUUAUUAUUUUGCUGUAACUUCACAUUUAACAUGCUGUUAUUGAUACAGGG